CUUUGUUCACCGAAACUUGGUCUCACCAUUUCGUUCUUUCUCUUACCUUCUGGCUGAAUUAUUCAGCCUCUUUUCUCCACUGAAUUUACUCACUGAGCUAACCUUAUUCUAUUACUCUUUAUAUCCUUAAUUAACAUUUAAUUAAGCAGUUGUUUCCUGAUCCUCGCCAACGCCGUCCCCGCUUCGAAUUCCCUGGAUCCACUGGGGCUGGACCCCGGCAGAGGAGGUUGCGUGUGGUGGAAUAAAAAGGAGAAAUAUUUUGCAAAGUUAAAAGACUCUUCCUGCCUGGGCCACCACCCACAUUUGAUUAUUUUCUAUAUACUGUCGAAAGGUGUUUAUGGGAAUAUUCCUUGGAGAAGGCAAUGGUAAUCUACUCCAAUAUUCUUACCAAGAUAAUUCCAUGGACAGAGGAGUCUGGAGGGCUACAGUGGUCACAAAGA
ensembl:lncRNA